CAGUGGCUGAAAAUCAAAGAAACAAAUAACUCAAUUAGUACAGCCUACCGAGUUGUUAUAUAUAUAUACGAAGUCGGACGUUUCAGGCUAGUUUCCGACGCAAAUGGGGUAUUACACUUUUUUUUUAAUUAACCCAGAGAUCGUAAUGAACCAGUAGAAUUUUUAUUUCAAUUUUACAAGACCGAAAAGUGUUGCUCAAAACCUAUUUUUUAUUUAUGAUUUUGAAUUUUCGCGCGGAAACGCUAGCCGCCGUGCUGUUUCGGUCUGUGACGUCACUCCGUUGUGGACUCACCAUCGUCACCAUCGAGGGUUGACCGAAUGAAUUGAGAUGAAAAAAUCAUCGUUAUUAAUCGCGGCUUAUCAACAUUCACGACACGGUUUGCGGGAAGGGGAAGAUGAUAAAGAAGAAUGUGAAUCGUCGAUGGAUUGAACAAAUAAACGUAAUUAAUCGGCGUAAAUGAUGGUGCCAACUAACUCGAGCACAACAAAGCCGACGUGUUCGAGGCCCUCGGUGGAUGAAAGAGCCUUCAAGAUCACAGCGAAUUAGAGGUUAUUGAAAGUACAGCGAGGUGCAGAGAAUUCGCAGCACUCGUGAAACGAGUGUCUGUCCCGGGCGUGUUCCGUCGCAUUGUGUCGCCAAAGUCUGGCCCAUUGUACUUUCUUUAAUAAAACAACCUCGUACGUGC